CGCGUAGGAAUCUACCUAGUAGUGGGGGACAACUCGGGGAAACUCGAGCUAAUACCGCAUACGCCCUACGGGGAAAGCGGGGACCUUCGGGCCUCGUGCUAUUAGAUGAGCCUGCGUUGGAUUAGCUAGUUGGUGGGGUAAAGGCCUACCAAGGCGACGAUCCAUAGCUGGUCUGAGAGGAUGAUCAGCCACACCGGGACUGAGACACGGCCCGGACUCCUACGGGAGGCAGCAGUGGGGAAUAUUGCGCAAUGGGCGAAAGCCUGACGCAGCCAUGCCGCGUGUGUGAAGAAGGCCUGG
rnacentral:rRNA from 1 species